ACUUACGGCCAUACCAGCCUGAGCGUGCCUGAUCUCGUCUGAUCUCGGAAGCUAAGCAGGGUCGGGCCUGGUUAGUACUUGGAUGGGAGACUACCUGGGAAUACCAGGUGCUGUAAGCU
ensembl:rRNA 5S_rRNA 5S ribosomal RNA